CGGCGAGUGAAGCGGCAAUAGCUCAAAUUUGAAAUCUGGCACUUUCAGUGUCCGAGUUGUAAUUUGAAGAAGGUAUCUUUGGGUCUAGCUCUUGUCUAUGUUUCUUGGAACAGAACGUCACAGAGGGUGAGAAUCCCGUGCGAUGAGAUGUCUAGAUCUAUGUAAAGUUCCUUCGAAGAGUCGAGUUGUUUGGGAAUGCAGCUCUAAGUGGGUGGUAAAUUCCAUCUAAAGCUAAAUAUUGGCGAGAGACCGAUAGCGAACAAGUACAGUGAUGGAAAGAUGAAAAGAACUUUGAAAAGAGAGUGAAAAAGUACGUGAAAUUGUUGAAAGGGAAGGGCUUGAGAUCAGACUUGGUAUUUUGUAUGUUACUCUCUCGGGGGUGGCCUCUACAGUUUACCGGGCCAGCAUCAGUUUGAGCGGUAGGAGAAUUGCGUAGGAAUGUGGCUCGGCCUCGGUCGAGUGUUAUAGCCUUCGUCGAUACUGCCAGCUUAGACUGAGGACUGCGGCU
rnacentral:rRNA from 1 species